CAAUAGCGUAUAUUUAAGUUGCUGCAGUUAAAAAGCUCGUAGUUGGAUUUCGGGUGGGAAUGGCCGGUCCGCCGUUUCGGUGUGCACUUGCUACGCCCACCUUGCUGCCGGGGACGUGCUCUUGAGUUCACGCUCGGGACACGGAGUCGGCGAGGUUACUUUGAGUAAGUUAGAGUGUUCAAAGCAGGCCUACGCUCUGAAUACAUUAGCAUGGAAUAACACGAUAGGACUCUGGCCUAUCUUGUUGGUCUGUAGGACCGGAGUAAUGAUUAAGAGGGACAGUCGGGGGCAUUCGUAUUUCAUUGUCAGAGGUGAAAUCCUUGGAUUUAUGAAAGACGAACUACUGCGAAAGCAUUUGCCAAGGAUGUUUUCAUUGA
rnacentral:rRNA from 1 species